AUUGAACGCUGGCGGCAUGCCUUACACAUGCAAGUCGAACGGUAACAGGUCCUCGGAUGCUGACGAGUGGCGAACGGGUGAGUAAUACAUCGGAACGUGCCUAGUAGUGGGGGAUAACUACUCGAAAGAGUGGCUAAUACCGCAUGAGAUCUACGGAUGAAAGCAGGGGAUCGCAAGACCUUGUGCUACUAGAGCGGCCGAUGGCAGAUUAGGUAGUUGGUGGGAUAAAAGCUUACCAAGCCGACGAUCUGUAGCUGGUCUGAGAGGACGAUCAGCCACACUGGGACUGAGACACGGCCCAGACUCCUACGGGAGGCAGCAGUGGGGAAUUUUGGACAAUGGGCGAAAGCCUGAUCCAGCAAUGCCGCGUGCAGGAUGAAGGCCUUCGGGUUGUAAUCUGCCUUUGUACGGAACGAAAAGCCCCGGGUUAAUACCCUGGGGUCAUGACGGUACCGUAAGAAUAAGCACCGGCUAACUACGUGCCAGCCGCCGCCGUAA
rnacentral:rRNA from 1 species